rfam:Methanosarcina sp. MTP4, complete genome.
CGGGAUUAGCUCCCGUAGGAAUGUGGCUCGAGACCCGGGCUGAACCGUGAA